CGUGGGGCGGUCACGUGAGCGGGCAGCCUCGCGCCGCGCUCCGGCAACGGUCAUUCCCCUCAGCUCGGACCCGCUGGUGUCCGGAGGGGCCGCGCCACCCUCCUCACCUGACCACAAAUGCGUUGUACUUCUGUGCCAACAAUAUCGAUCAUCAAUGCCUGACAGCGAAAACCCUACAUAAGAAUUCCCCACCCUCAAAGAAGAGUUGAGACCUCAUCCUCUUUACUUUAAGGAAGUGUUGAACCGCUUCUGAUACGUAAAAAAGAAGAAAAAGAAAGAAAGAAAGGAAGAAAGGAAGAAAGAAGAUGGCUACUUCCAAGCAAGAGUGAGGUCUCAUGUUAGUUCUUUGUAAGCUCCAAGGAUGAGCUGUGUCUCCCUGCAGCCCUGCCUUGCUCUGACUAUUCCUAUGCAGGCAAUGAAAACAGACAAAUGGAGACAUGUUCCUGUCUCCCUAAACCUGUGUUGAGGGGUAUUAGUUGUUUAGCAUAAAUAAGUAAGUUUUAAUUAGAAUAAAUCACUUAGGAUUAUAAUAGGAUUAUAAUAUGGUGUGAUUUGUGCUGUUUGCUUAGCUUUACUUAGCAUGAGUAGCUAGAUUUGCUGAAGCCUAGGCCGUGAUAGAGUGAUUUUUCGUCAUAAUUUUUCUAGCAGCUGGUACAGUGCUGUGUUUCGUCUUCUAACAUGUGGAAGAGUUUUGAUACCACACUGAUGUUUUGGGAUUGUUUUUCCCGAGUCUGGGACUCUUCAGUUUUCCAUGUUCUGCCAGGGAGCGCAGGUGCACAAGGACUGUAAACCAGAAGAUAAGGAGGCUCCAACCCUUGGCUGAAACUGCAAAUCAGCAAGAUGAGAGCCUGCCUGCCUGGACACAGAAGAAGAAUCCAAUUAGAUCUUAGAAGACUCCAGACCAAAAAUCACCAUUGGACUAAAAGACAUGUGGACAGCACAUGAGGGGCGGGUGUACGGAUCACAAAGGUCCCGCUCUUUGGAGACACCCAGCCAGGGUGGUUCUUGCUGCUGUACCUUCCAAUUAAUUUAAUUAUUUUAUAAAAUCUGAUGCCUGAGACUCUGCUGUGGGAAACCUAGGCUCAAGCCUGAAGAAGGAGGAAGCGCGCUUGAAAGUAAGAGAGCGUGUGUGUGUGUGUGUGUGUAUGCGUGCGACACCUCGAAUGGUGUGUGAAUGCUCGGGCAGCAGCUUCUCCUUUAACACCUGGUACCCCAGCCCUGGGUCCUUCCAACUUCUUGUUACCCAAUUCUGCAAGACAGCAACCAGUCCUGCAUCUCACCAGCUUUCCCACCCUGUUGAUAUGUUCUCUACUUCCCCAAAGCAGGAACUCUGACCCACGAUGCGUAGUGUUGUCUCCUUAAUUGCCACGUCUGCUCCCUGUUCAUACUCAGAAUUAUUCUGAGUAAUGUAAUUAAAUAAUAUAAUGAAUAACUUCUAUUUAUUCUGUGGGGUUGUUUGUUUUUUUUUCAGUAGGAUCCAUAAGGCUAAAAUGAAAUUUCCCUUCUGGCGCGUUAUCACAGAUCUAUUAAUCAACCAGUUCCUUGCCUGAUCUCAUUGAAUGUUAUGAGACUUCAGACGCCACUGAGAACAUGACAGUAAGAACAGGAAUAGGGGUAACCACAGCUGAAUUUGAAAAGCAGAUCAUUUUCCACUGGUGGUACACAGAAAAUAAGAAGUACCAACCUCCUAUUUCCAGUUUCGAGAUUUAGUAUACAAGGAUUAUGGUUAGAAAAUAACCAAAAUACUUUAACCUCUGAAAUAUCAACAUUUAAACUGGAGUAAUGAACGGCAGUCAACAAUAUUUUUAUUUGCCUUUGAGAUUACAAACUUAUUUUGGAAAGUAGAAUUGUACCGACAGCAACACCAGCCCCGAGCAGGAGUUCUGUUUGGGAACAGGAGCCUGGGAGAAUCUGAACUUUCGCUCAGUUUUACUGUCUUAAGAGGGGCCCGCUCUGCAAAUUUCAAAAGCUGUGGUUCCUCCUGCUUAUCAGGCAGUUUUAGAAAGUUAUCGCUUUGUUUUUAUUUAGGUUUCCUUUUCCUAAAGGAAUUCGGUCAGAGAAGAAAAAUUCGUAUUCUCUCUGAACCCACAGGCUGGCUAACUUUUGUAACAAAAUUAAACCCAGACAAAAUAAACCUCUCUUUGAAUAAGCAUUGAAAGCUCGGUAUAUGCUUUUGUCUGCAUAAAAUUAAAUUACAGGUUUUUUUAUCACAAAUAUUAAACACAAAUGUAUUAGCAGCAAGAUCAAUAAAAAAUUCAAAAGAUAUUUGGGUUCAAAGGAGAUUAAAUGAUGUCUAAUGGCAUGUUUAGUCAAAACUAGCAUAAUUCCAAUCCAAUACAGCAAAAAUAGAUUAAAUGCCACUACAUGAUAGAUUUCCCUACAUAGCCAUUGAUGGGAAAUCGUUAUGAAGUGCGUUUCUGUUUCAACUCAUGUCACACGGUGCUUUGGCCCCUGCAUGAAGCAAUUGUUUACAAAUGUCUUCAGCUUACAGAAGUAAAUAACCAGGCUGGGAGACUCCUUUGCUACAUAAACUGUAUGCAAAGGAGAUCAAGCAUUCAUUUUAAUGUACAAAAUCCCGACAUAGGAAGGGAGUGGGUUGGUCAUGCAUACCAAAGAAGAAACCUCAACGCUGAAAAGCAGCUCAAAACCGCUUAGGGCUUUAUAUUUGCUUGAAUUAGCUAAUUUGAAUGGGCCUAGCUUACAAUGCUAUCCAGUCUGUUCUAUGCCUCUCCUCCCUCUAAUUUUUUUCACUCAUCUUCUUGUAUUUGUAAAUUAUAUCAAGUAAUUUUGUGUUUAUUUCCAUACUGUUAAGGAAAAUAUUGGGUAGUGUUAUGACAAAUGCUGCAGCUCCAACCAAAACAUCUUCCUAACCAGCAAUUUUCUACCAGUUUGGGUUUUUUUUUUUUGCAACUGUCAGCCACUUUACUGUAUCACACCAGUUUAAAUGCGAGGAUCACAAGGCUUUAAGUCAGACGUAGGCUUAUCACAGUGUCUCAGACCUCUGCUUCUGAAGAACAUCUAGAGUGAUUGUCAUCCAAAACUUCUAAUUGCAUCCAAAAAAAAUCCUUUUUCUUUCAAAAUGCUAUUCUCUAUAACUGCAGAGAUAAAAUGGCACUUACUGAAAGGAUAUUCAAUCCAGUCCUGAAAGGUAUCAUAAAAAUCAAUAGUUGGAGGCCAAAGAUACUGUCAGGGAGGCCAAAUUUUACUCUAGAUGGAAAGAGUAAUGUGGGGCUUGUGAUAUGCCUAGUACCAACUUUUUCUCUUAAUUUCUAUGAAUCUAUGAACAGAAGAGUCCAAAUAGUUCUUUACAAUGAAAGGGCUGGAUCCAGCUAGUGCCUGCCCACUUAGUCCCCAGUAAAUUUGUGCCUAAGCUCUUCAUCACUUCAGCUGAUUUGGUCGUGCAUAGUCAUUGGAAAAAGAAUGGUUUUUUUCUAAUGAUAUUCAUAGUUUAUUCAUGGUCACGACACCUAGUUUCCAAGUGAACCUGAAGAUUGCUAAGCAAACCUCAUGCACUCCAACUGGCACAUCAAAAUCUUCUUGCAUAUCAUAUACUUGAGAAAGGUAAUGGAGGAGUAAAUUUGAAAGUAACUUGAAGGUAAAGGAUGACUGGCUAUUUUAAGGAAUCCAUAAUGCUGAUAUAGGACAGGCUGGACUUAGGGUGCAGUUUAGUCCCAGGACGGACUGGUAAUGUCAGCCUCCCAGGCAGGUUAUUUUAGUGCUUCGUGAUUCUUACUGAUAGAAAUUUGUCUUUGCAUGUAACCUGAAUCUCAGUUGCUCUGGUGUUGAUGCUGCUACUUCGCAUCCUAAAUAUCCUAGAUGCAGAUACUAUGUUUUUCUUUGUGAAGCUGUCGUUCUGACACAGUAUGAUAAUAUAGCUGUAUUUCUUCAUGGUGUUCUU